AGUCGAGGGGAGCAUUUCAGUUUGCUUGCAACUGGAGAUGGCGACCGGCGCACGGGUGAGUAACACGUAUCCAACCUGCCGAUAACUCGGGGAUAGCCUUUCGAAAGAAAGAUUAAUACCCGAUGGUAUAAUCAGACCGCAUGGUCUUGUUAUUAAAGAAUUUCGGUUAUCGAUGGGGAUGCGUUCCAUUAGGCAGUUGGUGAGGUAACGGCUCACCAAACCUUCGAUGGAUAGGGGUUCUGAGAGGAAGGUCCCCCACAUUGGAACUGAGACACGGUCCAAACUCCUACGGGAGGCAGCAGUGAGGAAUAUUGGUCAAUGGGCGCAGGCCUGAACCAGCCAAGUAGCGUGAAGGAUGACUGCCCUAUGGGUUGUAAACUUCUUUUAUAUGGGAAUAAAGUUUUCCACGUGUGGAAUUUUGUAUGUACCAUAUGAAUAAGGAUCGGCUAACUCCGUGCCAGCAGCCGCGGUAAUACGGAGGAUCCGAGCGUUAUCCGGAUUUAUUGGGUUUAAAGGGAGCGUAGGUGGACAGUUAAGUCAGUUGUGAAAGUUUGCGGCUCAACCGUAAAAUUGCAGUUGAUACUGGCUGUCUUGAGUACAGUAGAGGUGGGCGGAAUUCGUGGUGUAGCGGUGAAAUGCUUAGAUAUCACGAAGAACUCCGAUUGCGAAGGCAGCUCACUGGACUGCAACUGACACUGAUGCUCGAAAGUGUGGGUAUCAAACAGGAUUAGAUACCCUGGUAGUCCACACAGUAAACAAUGAAUACUCGCUGUUUGCGAUAUACAGUAAGCGGCCAAGCGAAAGCAUUAAGUAUUCCACCUGGGGAGUACG
rnacentral:rRNA from 1 species